rnacentral:rRNA from 1 species
GACGAACGCUGGCGGCGUGCCUAACACAUGCAAGUCGAGCGAGGAGAUUCCCUUCGGGGAUGAACCUAGCGGCGGACGGGUGAGUAACACGUGGGCAACCUGCCUUAUAGAGGGGAAUAGCCUUUCGAAAGGAAGAUUAAUACCGCAUAAGAUUGCAUUUUCGCAUGAAGAAGCAAUUAAAGGAGCAAUCCGCUAUAAGAUGGGCCCGCGGCGCAUUAGCUAGUUGGUGAGGUAACGGCUCACCAAGGCGACGAUGCGUAGCCGACCUGAGAGGGUGAUCGGCCACAUUGGGACUGAGACACGGCCCAGACUCCUACGGGAGGCUG